rnacentral:rRNA from 1 species
CCUGGUUGAUCCUGCCAGUAACAUAUGCUUGUCUCAAAGAUUAAGCCAUGCAGGUCUAAUGUGUCCACACGGCCGGUACAGUAAAACUCCGGAUUGGCUCAUUAAAUCAGUUAUGGCUCCUUUGAUCGCUCCAUCCGGUACUUGGGAUAACAUCGCUCCAUCCGUUACUUGGAUAACUUUGCAAUUCCAGCUAAUACAUGCCAACGAACCGCCGACCCGGUCCCCCCGGGGGCCGGGGACGCGUGCAUUUUCAGAUCAAAACCAAGUCGGGUGCGGCGUGAGAUCCAAAACCCAUCCGGGUGCGGCGUGCCUCCCCCUUCGGGGGUCGGGCCUCGUUCCCCGGGCCGUUUGGUGCCUCUAGAUAACCUCGGGCCGAUCGCGCGCCCUCCGCGGCGGCGACGAUUCAUUCGAAUGUCUGCCCUAUCAACUUUCGAUGGUACUUUAUGCGCCUACCAUUGGUGACCACGGGUACCGGGGAAUCAGGGGUUUGGAUUCCGGAGAGGGAGCCUGAGAAACGGCUACCACAUCCNNNNNNNAAAGGAAGGCAGCAGGCGCGCAAAUUACCCAUUCCCGACACAGGGAGGUAGUGACGAAAAAUAACAAUACAGGUCUCUUGACGAAAAAUAACAAUACAGGUCUCUUUCGAGGGCCUUGUAAUUGAAUGAGCGCAUCCCAAAACCAAUGGGCGAGGACCCAUUGGAGGGCAAGUCCGGGUGCCAGCAGCCGCGGUAAUUCCAGCUCCAAUAGCGUAUAUUAAAGUUGCUGCAGUUAAAAAGCUCGUAGUUGGAUCUCGGGAGUGGCCUAGCGGUCCGCCGCGAGGCGACCCACCGCCUGUCCCGGACCUGCCUCCCGGCGCCCCCCGGAUGCCCUUAGCUGGGUGUCCGGUACCUCGGGGCCCGGAGCGUUUACUUUGAAAAAAUUAGAGUGUUCAAAGGCAGGCCGCCCAGCCGCCGCUGAAUACCGCAGCUAGGAAUAAUGGAAUAGGCCUCCUGUUCUAUUCUUGUGGGUUUCUGGAACCCGGGGCCAUGAUUGAGAGGGACGGCCGGGGGCAUUCGUAUUGCGCCGCUAGAGGUGAAAUUCUUUGAACCGGCCGCAAGACUAACUAAAGGCGAAAGGCGUUUGCCAGGAAUUGUUUCAUUAAUCAAGAACGAAAGUCGGAGGUUCGAAGACGAUCAGAUACCGUCGUAGUUCCGACCGUAAACGAUGCCCACCCGCGAUCCGGCGGCCGUAAACGAUGCCGCCCCGCUAUCCGGCGUCUUUAUUCCCAUGACCCGCCGGGCAGCGUGCGGGAAAACACGAGUCUUUGGGUUCCGGGGGGAGUAUGGUUGCAAAGCUGAAACUUAAAGGAAUUGACGGAAGGGCACCACCAGGAGUGGAGCCUGCGGCUUAAUUUGACCCAACACGGGAAACCUCACCCGGCCCGGACACGGAAAGGAUUGACAGAUUGAUAGCGCUUUCUCGAUUCUGUGGGUGGUGGUGCAUGGCCGCUCUUAGUUGGUGGAGCGAUUUGUCCCGUUCUAAGUUGGUGGAGCGAUUUGUCGAAUUACAUUCCGAUAACGAACGAGACUCGCAUGCUAAAUAGUUACGCGGUUACGGGGCCCCGCGCGGUCGGCGCCCAACUUCUUAGAGGGACAGUGGCGUUCAGCCCCGCGAGAUGGAGCAAUAACAGGUCUGUGAUNNNNNNNNAUAACAGGUCUGUGAUGCCCCUAGAUGUCCGGGGCUGCACGCGCGCCACAAUGGGGGGGCUGCACGCGCGCCACAAUGGACGGAUUAACGAGUGCCUACCCUGCGCCGAGAGGCGCGGGUAAACCCGGUUGAAACCCGGCUCGUGAUUGGGACUCUGGGGCUUAAACUGUUUUCCAAUCAACGAGGAAUUUCCCAGUUAAGCGCAGGUCAUGCUUGCGCGUUUAUUAAAGUCCCUGCCCUUUGUACACACCGCCCGUCGCUACUACCGAUUGGAUGGUUUAGUGAGGUCCUCGGAUCGGCCCCGCCGGGGCUCCUCGCCGGGCCCUGGCGGACCGCCGAGAAGACGAUCAAACUUGAUCCUCUAGAGGAAGUAAAAGUCGUAACAAGGUUUCCGUAGGUGAACCUGCGGAAG